AGGGUUGUGAAUUUCAGUUACUCAUAGUCGGCUUCUACUGAACAGUGCUAGCAAUUUACAAGAACUAAAGAUCUUCCCUAUUUUCAGAAGGGUACAGCUCCAGGAUUCCCUAUGGAUAUCUAAAGCUACAAAUAGCAUGGAUUCACCUUUUCACUUCCAAAGCAUAUGUAAGCACCAGUGGAAAUAUGGUUGAGCUAGUCAACUGACUUACACUGACAAAACAAUAGCCUUAUUCCUACAAGUCUCAAGUACUCAAGCAAAGGCUUCGAGAAGCUCCUGACAUGGACUAAAAGAUCUCAACUGUGCCCAAACUAUACAGCAACAAUUUCAAAAAGACAUUUAACAAUGCUGCUAAAUGGAUCACUGCUCCUGUCUAUCCCAUGGAGAUGAUUUUAGUGAGAUGACUAUUCAAGAAGAUGGCUUGCCAUGGCAAGACUUGAUGGAUUUAAUUCAUACCCAAAGUAGCAAGAGCAAUCACUACUUCUGCUCUAGAGAUAGCCAUUUAAAAUUUAACAGAAAUGAGGUAAUCAGUGUAUUUUGAAAAAAUAUAACCUUUCAAUUAAACCUUAAAAAGAUGAAAA